UCGUUCACAUCAUGUAUCAGGUCAUAACGACUGCGCAUGGAUGAACGUACCGUAUUGUUAGGUGACUAGCCGGUACAGCAUACAGCAUACAGCAGAUCGUCGACUUGCCACGCGGAAGGGGUCAGGCCCCACAUAACAGGACCAGGAUCAGCCAGCAGCGAAGAGCAGUUGUCCAUUCUCAAUUUUGAAUUGGGAAACCACUUGAAGCUCUUCAGCGGAGAUGCAUAUGCGGCAAUACAACCGGUGGCAUGGGUGUUUGGUCGCCAAGACCAGGCAGCAGUAAAUCGCGACGCCGUCCUCCGUGGAUCUUCUGCACUGCAGUCCAGCGCCUGGUAAACGUGGCAGCAAGCUUAUGUAGGCAACACUUGACAGGAACGAUCGGCACCGCUGAGGGUAACCGCCACAUUCACUAUCUGCCACUCGGUGUUGAAGUUCUUCAGUCAGUUCAGGCAUGCAGGUCAAAAUGAGCUCAUGGAAUUGUACAUAUGACAUAAUGGACUAUGACCAGGAAAUGGGCUACACAUAGCAACAUACCAGUGUUGUUGACACGAGCUUGGAAGGUUCACCAGCCCGGCUGCACGGAGAGUACUAUAAGACAGAUAUGUCAAUGAGUGACCUAUCCGAAUCCGAUGAUCACUACUGAGUCACAGCAGCAGUGAUUGUAACAGAGGUGCAGUGAGUAAUUGUUGCCCAGAAGCAUAAGCAGAAACAGCAGCAGCAGCAGCAGCAGUAGUAGUGACAACACGAAAGUGGAAGCAGUGGAGAAGAGAGGGAGGCAGUGGUGGCAACAGCAGCAGCAGCAGCACUGAGUAGCCUGUAUGUAUGUAGUGCUGGCAGCGGCAGUGACCCAGCAGCAGAGGCAGGAAUAGCUAGUGACAGGAGCAGCCACCGUGAGCAAGGAUUGCAUCAGCAGCAUCGGCAUAGCAGCAAGACCAGCCGAAGCAACCACAGCAGCAGCCGUCGCCCCAGCAGGAGCAGCCAAAGCAGCCGAAUCACCAGCUGAAGGAACAGCAGUGUUGACACAAAGCAUAGUGUGCCGCAGUGGAACGGAUGUGAAUGACCGGUCAUGGAUAAUGAAGAAUGACUGACUGUGCGCAUGACUAACCGGCUUUCUUCAGAUACUUGUACCUAGAAACUGCCUACACACUCUACCAAGUGUUGUCAGGAUCCUCAGUUCACUUAAACGUUGCAUGAUGCAUGGUCGUAUACUGCCUUACCGGCAGGUCCAGCCAUGGCUGGAACAUAUUUCAGGAAAACGUUGCAAAACAGCGUUUUUUUGUCAAUAAUGUUCAAUUCCGGACAAGUAUCCCAUUGGGCCGGACCACCCGAAGUACCGGUGCUGCGGCCCCCGCGAUGUACACCAACACAGAAGAUCAGACUUACAGUGUCCUGGAGUGUGCACUGUUUCAGCCUCAGGCAUACCUCAGCCGGUGCACCAACACUAGUGUACAGCAGUGCGUGCAUCGGUUCGACAUCGCCAGUUUUGGCGUACAAUUAUGUAUACCGUCUGCAGUAGCUGCACAGGUGAAAAAUAGACAGGGAGCAGGGGGGGGAUACAUGUACAUGUACUACUGCACUUGUACUCAAUGACAAUACAAUACAAUACAAUACAAUGAUUGUAUUCAUGUUACUUUGUACAGCACACAAAUGUAACAACAAACACAAGGGAGUAGUAGGGAGGUAGCCUGGUGAUGCGAGAUCAGCCACAGCCACCUCCACCUUGGGUCUCCGGUCAAUGGUCUCGACCCGUUGGCACUUGUCUACGCACUCAGUCGGGACAUCUUUUUGAGUGUGGUUAUCAUGAGUCUUUCCUUCCAUCAGGACCACAAUCUCGUAGAAGGACGUUUUCUUUUCUGCAGGGAGCUGUUCGCAAACGAAACCUGGUUUGAGUGCGACUCCCCGGUUCUCUCCUUUCACUGAGCAGCCACACUUGUUUCACUGAGACGGGUAAAAGAGUGCUCACCUGGGCCUUGUCAGGUACUAUCAAGUUGGCCCAUUAGGUUGGAAAUUCUCAACCGCCGUAUCCUCCGCCUGAUAUUUAGAACUAGCCGCUACAUUUCUAACUCGGACUUGUACAAAAUUGCAACCUGUGCCCCCCCUGCAGAGUUAUCUCGAUGUUAUAAUGUGCUGUCUUGUGCACGCAAUUUACCUUGGCAUAUCCCCCCCCCCCCCCACACCUACAGCAACUUAAUUGGUUUGUUUCGAACUCCCCCACACGUAGUAAAGUCCGUCUCCCCCGAGCUACUACAUCUCUGUUUGUAUCUUCCCCCUUUUUCAGCUCUUAUACUAAAUGGCUGGCGUUGCCCCUUCAUGCCCGUCAGGCAAAGUCGCUUCCCUCGUUUCGCAAUCUUGCAAAGCAGCAUUUCAACAUUCCCAUUCAAUAGUCAAUAUACCUGUUUAGUCUCGGUCGUCUCACGUCGGUUGUACUGCUCCCCUUCCUCUAUUACUUACCAUGGUAUUGGUGCACCACCACACUUCUUAUACUUUCUUUCUACGCCAUGGCUGGCAAACGUCCCCUCCUCAUCUAUAUUGGCACUGAUUCAUCUUUAGCCACUGGAAGGUGUAAUAAUAAUAAUAAUGUGGGCAGUGCUGGACUGUGUUGAUUUCCCUAUACUUUCUCGUACAGUACAUUUUCUAAUGUAUGUGAAUGAUAUCCGGGUGCAAUUCUCAACACCUCGCUAUAUGCGGACGACACCACUCUGCUGGCUAGUCACCGGUCGCUCCCCGUCGCGUGUCAAGACCUGCAGGUAGGAAUAGACUGUGUGGUCAAGUGGAUGCGAAGGUGGAAACUCCGCCCGAACUCCGCCAACACCGAGAUCAUGUGUGUCGUCCCCAACGCGUCAUCAGAUGUUGCACAUCUUCAAACUUUUAUUUUCCAUUUCCCCGAUGAUCCUACCCCGAUACCUAUAACCUCUCGUCACAAGCACCUUGGCGUUACACUUGAUAGCAAAUUGGACUGGUCCCACCAUUUCCAGAAUCUGGAAAAGCGGGCAAGCUCAGUCGUCGGUAUUCUUUAUGGCCAUCUCCCCCACAUUUCACCAGAAUGCCGAAAGACCUUUUAUCAUACAUACGUUUUGCCUAUUUUCUUGUAUUGCUGUGUGGUGUGGUGUGGCGCUAGUAAUGGCCUCUUUGCAAAGCUGGAGAUUGUCACUGAUUGUGCAUCGACGGAUUCUCCGGGCAAUACUUCGUUUGCCGCCCGAGACCAACAUAGCCGUUCUCUAUGAAAAUUGCUUUACAUUUCCUCUGAAACAUUACAUUUUUAGUGACCGAUCCUCCUGCGUAUACAUUCACAAAAUCAAACUUAUCACUGCCCCUCAGCAUGUGCAGCAUUCCUUAAUUAAACUGGUUCAAUGAAUCCUCAACAAGCCGGAACUCGCUUCGUUUCCCGAUUGCAAGAAACAAUUCCAUGAGCAAAUCGCCUGUAUUCAUGGUAUUCCUAGCAUACCAAUUAUGGGAUUCUCUUCCUCAGCAAUUAAAGUCCAGCAACACCCUCAAUGCGUUUUUAAGCUUGAUAAAUGUACACGUACGUCGAUCUUCAUUUACUAAUCAUUGAUUUUCAUUCUCUUUGUGUAUUACUUCAAGCUCCAAAGUAAAUCACAUAUGCUACCUGUACAAUUCAUUUGGGUUUUGGAUUGAUUUUUAUAAUUGAUUUUGG